rnacentral:rRNA from 1 species
GGGCCCGCACAAGCGGUGGAGCAUGUGGUUCAAUUCGACGCAACGCGAAGAACCUUACCAGCCCUUGACAUGUCUAGGACCGGUCGCAGAGACGCGACCUUCUCUUCGGAGCCUGGAACACAGGUGCUGCAUGGCUGUCGUCAGCUCGUGUCGUGAGAUGUUGGGUUAAGUCCCGCAACGAGCGCAACCCUCGUCCUUAGUUGCCAUCAUUAAGUUGGGCACUCUAAGGAGACUGCCGGUGAUAAGCCGCGAGGAAGGUGGGGAUGACGUCAAGUCCUCAUGGCCCUUACGGGCUGGGCUACACACGUGCUACAAUGGCGGUGACAAUGGGCAGCGAACCCGCAAGGGGGAGCUAAUCUCUAAAAACCGUCUCAGUUCGGAUUGCACUCUGCAACUCGAGUGCAUGAAGUUGGAAUCGCUAGUAAUCGUGGAUCAGCAUGCCACGGUGAAUACGUUCCCGGGCCUU